UACGUAGGGGGCUAGCGUUGUCCGGAUUUAUUGGGCGUAAAGAGCGUGUAGGCGGCCAGGUAGGUCUGGUGUGAAAACUCGAGGCUUAACCUCGAGAUGUCAUCGGAAACCAUUUGGCUAGAGUCCGGAAGAGGAGAGUGGAAUUCCUGGUGUAGCGGUGAAAUGCGUAGAUAUCCGGAGGAACACCGGUGGCGAAGGCGGCUUCCUGGACCGACACUGACGCUGAGACACGAAAGCCAGGGGAGCGAACGGG
rnacentral:rRNA from 1 species